CACACCUUCUCAUUCAAAGAGUUUUCUUUAUUUUCAUGACUAUGAAAAUUGUAGAUUCACACUGAAGGCAUCAAGGGCUAUUUGAGCAAGAAGGAGAGUGAUGGGGUGCUGCGCCAGAUGACCUGGCCUCCACAGUCACCGGACCUGAACCCAAUCCAGAUGGUUUAGGGGUGAGCUGGACCGCAGACAGAAGGCAAAAGGGCCAACAAGUGCUAAGCAUCUCUCGGGGAACUUCUUCAAGACUGUUGGAAGACCAUUUCAGAUUUGAGGGAAAGAUUAAAAACAAGGAGGUCUGGGAAUGACUGAAGGGAACUGACAGCAGUGCGGGAAGGAAGUAAUCACCAGAAUCUCAGAGAAGGAUGUUGACAGUGCAGGCCCAGGAUGAAGAAGAGGAGGAAGAACACGUUUAACAAUUUUCUCAUAAGCUUGCCAUGUGUUAUAAUAAAAACAAUGAACAUGGCUACAAUAAUAUGCUAAAUGUUAUUAAAAGAUUCCAGUUUGCAAGAAGUCUGAGUGUCUGACUCUACACUAGAGGAACUCUUUUCUGAAGAAGAUCAGGUGCUGAGAAGAAGCCUUGUUCUACAGCACAACACUGCAUCAAGCCUCCUGUCCUUCCUUCAGAAGAGCCUGUCUUCUGCUGCUGGGGUAAGAAACACACUCUUCCUCUUCUCUAUCAGCUGUCCUGCACCUAACUCUGCCUCCUCAGCACUGUCUGAAAGAGUCUUCUCCACAGUCAGUAAUCACAGAUCACAGAUUCUUCUGAGAAAGUCAAUACUCUCAUUUUCUUUAAAACUGUUUUCGUGUGGGACAAAUAAUACAGUAGAGAUGCUAGAAAUCUCUAUAUUGUUCAUUUUUCAUAUCUUUACGCUUUAUGAAUGUUUUUUAUCUGAGAAGCUCAAGAAUUAUGGUUCUUUGGUAAUUGCUUUAUUGUUUAGGUUUAUCCUCUGAUAGUGAGCACAGAGCCCUGAUCAUGACAUGCAAGAAAAAGAAAGAAAUCAUGUCCAUGAUUUACUAAUUCGUUCCCUCUAUGUACUAAAACAUGCACGAUUACUUUUACAUUUCAUUGAUUUGCUAAAUCGUAUGCACAAUUUACUAAUUUGUUCUCUUGAUGUAUAAAUAGUGUACACGUUUUAGCAAAUCGAGGGAAUGAAAUAGAAAAUCGUGCGCAUGAAUUAGCCUAAAUGUUUUCCUGCAUGCCAUGUAAUUAAAGCACAUCACCAUCAGACAUUUAUACCAGGAGCCUCAUACGACGCUCACAGUUUUACUUUGUGCAGUAUCUCUGUGCAGUAUCUGCUGAAUUGUUUCAUAUCUAUUUAUCAUGUAUUUUUUGUUGCACUAAAUUAUGUUGUAUCAAUAAGUUUACUGAUAAUUAUUUUUAAUUUUCACUAAUAACGUCAUUAACCAUCUCCCCAUCUUUAAGACAAAAAUGUUCUAUUGUUUAUAUUGUGUAAUCUAUGAAUUGAUGUGUUUAGUUUUCUGUGCUCAUAACAUUUUGCAUGUUUAAAAGAACAGGUGCGAUGUUCAAAAUGUUUUGGCUUCGUAUUUGUACAAAGUAGUGCAGAAUAAAUAUUGAUUUGUGAAUGAA